rnacentral:rRNA from 1 species
GUCGAAUUAGUGGAUGUCAUACUUCCAAGAAAAGCUUGCACUGUCAUAAAUAAAAGACGCCUGUACCAUAACCGACACAGGUGGGUAGGUAGAGUAUACUAAGGGGCGCGAGAUAACUCUCUCUAAGGAACUCGGCAAAAUAACUCCGUAACUUCGGGAGAAGGAGUGCCUUAUUCGUAAGGCUGCAAUAACAAGAUCCAAGCAACUGUUUAUCAAAAACACAGGUCUCCGCUAAGUCGUAAGACGAUGUAUGGGGGCUGACGCCUGCCCAGUGCCAGAAGGUUAAAGAAGUCGGUUAGCAUUAGCGAAGCUGGUAACUGAAGCCCUGGUGAACGGCGGCCGUAACAAUAACGGUCCUAAGGUAGCGAAAUUCCUUGUCGGGUAAGUUCCGACCCGCACGAAAGGCGUAAUGAUUUGGAUACUGUCUCGGAGAGGGGCUCGGUGAAAUAGACUUGUCUGUGAAGAUGCGGACUACCUGCACCAGGACAGAAAGACCCUAUAAGCUUUACUGUAACUUGAAAUUGAAAUUGGACUUUAUUCGCGCAGUAUAGGUGGGAGGUGUUGAUUAUAAUCUUGCGGGAUUAUUGGAGCCAUCAGUGAGAUACCACUCUUGUAAUGUUAGAUUUCUAACUUUGAAUCAUUAUCUGGUCAAAGAACAGUUUCAGGCGGGCAGUUUGACUGGGGCGGUCGCCUCCUAAAUGGUAACGGAGGCGUACAAAGGUUUCCUCUGAACGGGUAGAAAUCGUAUCUAGAGUGUAAAGGCAUAAGGAAGCUUGACUGUGAGACCUACAAGUCGAGCAGGGACGAAAGUCGGUCUUAGUGAUCUGACGGUACUGAGUGGAAAGGCCGUCACUCAACGGAUAAAAGUUACUCUAGGAUAACAGGCUGAUCUCCCCCAAGAGUUCACAUCGACGGGGAGGUUUGGCACCUCGAUGUCGGCUCAUCGCAUCCUGGGGCGGUAGUACGUCCCAAGGGUUGGGCUGUUCGCCCAUGAAAGCGGUACGCGAGCUGGGUUCAGAACGUCGUGAGACAGUUCGGUCCAUAUCCGGUGUAGGCGUUAGAAUAUUGAGAGGAGCCUUCUUUAGUACGAGAGGACCGAGAAGGACAUACCUCUGGUGUACCAGUUAUCGUGCCAACGGUAAACGCUGGGUAGCUAUGUAUGGAGUGGAUAACCGCUGAAAGCAUCUAAGUGGGAAGCCCACCUCAAGAUAAG